UUGGCUUACGUUGCCUUAUAUUUGCUUAAAAUGAAGGUUAAAGAGAGGGCGUACAGGCUGGGAGUUCAGAGGUAGCAGGAUGAAGAAACGACUGAAGGAACCUGACUUCCUACCAUGAAAAAGGUCUGGUGUGAAAGAAAGGAAUACCUGUGAAAAGUCAAACAUCUCAUCACAUACAAACCAAAUCUUCCCAGGACCUAUUAAAAUGUAACUGUAUUCUUGGUGAACUGUCUGCCUGUGUAGUGAAGGGAAAAUGGGACAUCUACGGAAUGCAGAAAGCCUUUUCUUUCAGGAAGAUUAGCCCUGAACUAACUACUGCCAGUCGUCCUCUUUUUUGCUGAGGAAGCCUGGCCCUGAGCUAAUAUCCGUGCCCAUCUUCCUCUACUUUCUACGUGGGACGCCUACCACAGCAUAGCGUGCCAAGCGGUGCCAUGUCUGCACCUGGGAUCCCAACCAGAGAACCCUGGGCCACUGAGAAGCGGAACGACAUCAGCAAAUGUGACAUAAACAGAAGCUUCAUACACCCUUGUGCAUUGAGGCUGGCCCUGUUGGAACCCUGGGAUCACGAUGUUACGAGGACUCAUGGUCUAGCCUCUCUGAGAUGAUCCCAGCCAACCCUCUGGUUGAAUGCAGCCACAGGUGAAGUCAGAAGAACCAACAAGCAAACACUCAGAAUUAGGAAAAAUAAUAAAUCCUUAUUGUUUUAAGUCAG
rnacentral:lncRNA from 1 species